UACGUAGGGAGCAAGCGUUGUCCGGAAUCAUUGGGCGUAAAGCGCGCGUAGGCGGCCCGAUAAGUCCGCUGUGAAAGUCAACGGCUCAACUGUUGGAUGCCGGUGGAUACUGUCGGGCUAGAGUACGGAAGAGGCAAGUGGAAUUCCUGGUGUAGCGGUGGAAUGCGCAGAUAUCAGGAGGAACACCUAUAGCGAAGGCAGCUUGCUGGGACGUUACUGACGCUAAGGCGCGAAAGCGUGGGGAGCAAACGGG
rnacentral:rRNA from 1 species